AUGAAACACUACUGUGUUUGUGGACUGAGUUCUAUUUGUAUGAAAAAUCUGAUGUUGCAUGCUCCUCCGCUCCCUAACAUGGAAUGGAUUAUUCUGGAGAAAAUGAAUGAAAAUGUUGGAUGGAGGGGAUUUGAAGCAGAUGCAUGCUUUUUCUUGUAUUAUCAAAACUGUAGAAGGUAGAGAAUGGGCUGAACAGCAAAGAGGAAACACUCUGCACUGAGGUCAGCUGCUCACAGAUCUAAAGGUCCUUCAAAACUAAAAUUGUUUUCAACCAAAAGAAUUCAUGGCAGAAUUGA
rnacentral:lncRNA from 1 species